GAACGAUCAUAGUGCCUUGCAGAACCGUCUUCACAAUCAGUAGUAUGCUUUCCGAGGGUUAUUCAGUGGAUUUGGUCUGUAGCGAUAACCAAGCAUCAUGCGCUUUUUGUACUGCUCGUAUAUAUCGUCUUCAGGAGUCACCUCACCAGGUUGAUGAGCUCCAACACCCAAGUUAUUCGUUUUUACAUCGCCUGCCAUUAUAGGAUCUGC
rnacentral:misc_RNA from 1 species